rnacentral:rRNA from 1 species
AUUGAACGCUGGCGGAAGGCCUAACACAUGCAAGUCGAACGAGUGGCGGACGGGUGAGGAAUGUCUGGGAAACUGCCUGAUGGAGGGGGAUAACUACUGGAAAAGGUAGCUAAUACCGCAUACCAUCGGAUGUGCCCAGAUGGGAUUAGCUAGUUGGUGGGGUAACGGCUCACCAAGGCGACGAUCCCUAGCUGGUCUGAGAGGAUGACCGUCCCGACUGGAACGGAGACACGGUCCGGCCUCGUGCGGUGGGUCGCAGUGGGGAAUAUUGCACAAUGGGCGCAAGUCUGAUUUAGCCAUGCCGCGUGUAUGAAGAAGGCCUUCGGGUUGUAAAGUAAUUUCAGCGGGGAGGCGUUACCCGCAGAAGAAUCACCGGCUAACUCCGUGACAGCAGCCGCGGUAAUAC